UCUUGCUGUAAGUUCAUUCGCUGUGGCGAGUAACAACUGUCUCUCUCCGGUGCUGAGAGGAGAGUGGGUUCCCUGAGAGGCUACUGACGCUGCUGCUACUUCUGACUGGCUGACUGGCUGGUUGACUGGUUUUCUGACUGACUGACACGUUAGGCGCUACAGCUACUCGCCGGGACUGCGAGGGGGGCUGCCUACGCAUGGGGAACACCAAAGCAAGGCGAUAUACCUUACGAUCACGGGCAUAUCUGAUCUGAAGCAAGGCGAUCAGACACCAGCCUGGCUCUUGUGGGAGGCUGCGCCUGGACCAAUACUCACAUGGAGUUUUCAUUACGUGUGGAUACGUGUGUUGACAGACAGAGACAGAGACAGACAGAGAGAGAUUAGGGCUAAAAUGGGAAUCUCCUCCUCCUUAUUGAUGGCUACUAGAGGACAGGACCACCAGGACUUCCAAGGAGGGCAGGGCUUCAGACUACCUUCGGCCCAGAAAAGCCUUUGAUGGGGGCUUGUCUUGUGCUGUGCUGCAAGGCGUCUUCAAUCAAUGACGUUGAUACAGUGCCUCUCUCUGUCCUGUUUGCCAUUUGGACCGACUGAGGAACAUGAUGACGCGGUCAGAGUGCGAUCGCUUGUUUGCGAUUCCCAUUAUUGCCACUCUGUGUUAAAGAUUCUCUUCGGUGACGGGUAUUCUUGGGUGGAUAAUACGGAUCACGUUGUUAUUGCUUAAGAAUACGCGUAGUCGAGGAGAGUCCUCUUCUUCUUCUGCAGUCUCUGCUGCUGAGGACAAUGAUCAGAUAGAAGCAGAUCAAACCUGUUUCCUUUUAAAACUGAGGCUUGUGGCUGGUACACGGAAACACCAACCAUGGAGAAUGACUGACAACCAAUUGAUGUAAACAUCAUCAUGUCCAGGUUAUGAAAGUGUAUUUGCAUAUAUCCAUGAUGCAUUAUGUAUUUGUAUUGGGUGGUAUAUAUGCAGCAGUGAGUGUGUACUUCCUGGGCUUCUGAUACAACAGAUAGUGUUGUUGUAUAGUUAUAGUUGAGGUUGCAUGGCCCUGGUUCUUUCUCAUGCAAAUCUCUCUAAUCUAUUUAUUAUCAGUCCUCCACACCAAGCACUCUUUACCUCCUUCUCCUCCUUUUUUUAAUGGAAAUUGUUUUUGAAAUGACAUUUAUGGCCUUAGGUUUUCCACAGGAAAGAGCUGCCUGCCACAUUCAACACUUUGGGGUCCAGACAACAAAAUGUCCAUCGCGUUAGCGACAGCUCAAUUUAUGCAUUUGGAGGAGAGUGGUUCUAGAGAUAAACAAUUACCACAGGCUCAAAUUGACUAUAACCGGAUUUUCCGUGUUACCAUACAAAUAGUAUGAAUAUGUAUCAGUCAGUCCCACAGGUCUGGUGCAUGGUGCAUUCUGAACCUUAACACCCAUGUAACAUCUAUUAAACAUCACUCCAGGAUCAACAUAAUUUCCAGAGAUUAAACUCAGAUAACUCAACUCUCAUAAUCUGACACUCAUAAUUUGAUUACACUCUUUUUUUUAACAUUUUUUUUGCAUGUCUAUUUUUUUAAAGCAUGAAAAACAUAUUGUUUUUGGAAUGUUUUGUAAAAUUGGCAUAUCAUGGUAUUUAAAUGUAAAAUUAUGUUUCAUCUUUUUCACAGGUAUUAUAACAUUUUUACAAAUGUACAAGAAAAAUUUCACAAUCAUCAGUCUGUCAAAUAUGCUCACGAUUAAUAUUAUAAAAAUAUAUUUAAUCAAUUAUAUUAGCUAAUACCAUUUCAGUUGUUUUAGAGAACACAAUUACAUAUUUACUGUUUGGUUCACAUAAUAAUUAUCACUCUAUUUGUAACGAUAGAAAAUCCAAUGAAUCUGUGAUUGAAUGUGUAGAAGUAGGAACAUUACACAAAAUACUACAAGCUUGGUUGGCCCUAUAUUUCACCGCUAAGAACAUUUCAAGGAACACAACAAGCAUGGUUGGCCCUAUAUUUCACAGCUAAGAACAUUACAAGGAACACUAUAAGCUUGGCUGGCCCUAUAUUUCACAGCUAAGAACAUUACAAGGAACACAACAAGCAUGGUUGGCCCUAUAUUUCACAGCUAAGAACAUUACAAGGAACACAACAAGCAUGGUUGGCCCUAUAUUUCACAGCUAAGAACAUUACAAGGAACACUACAAGCUUGGCCGGCCCCAUAUUUAACUUCUAGGAACAUUACAAGGAACACUAGAAGCUUGGUUGGCCCUAUUUUGCACCUCUAAGAACAUUACAAGGAACACUAGAAUAUUGGUUGGUCCCAUUCUUCAAAACAAGUGGAACUACAUAACUGAUAAAGAUCAUAUCAAAGUUGCCUUUGUACUUCUCCUUCCCUUCUGUAUUGGAUCCAGGUUAUAUCAGGAAAUACGUCUACAGGGAGAAAGAGAACAGGUUAUAUCAGGAAAUACAUCUACAGGGAGAAAGAGAACAGGUUAUAUCAGGAAAUACAUCUACAGGGAGAAAGAGAACAGGUUAUAUCAGGAAAUACGUCUACAGGGAGAAAGAGAACAGGUUAUAUCAGGAAAUACAUCUACAGGGAGAAAGAGAACAGGUUAUAUCAGGAAAUACGUCUACAGGGAGAAAGAGAACAGGUUAUAUCAGGAAAUGAUUUACAGUGAGAAAAAGAACAGGUUAUUUCAGAAGAGACAUCUACAGGGAGAAAGAUAGCAGGUUAUUUCAGGAAACACAUCUACAGGGAGAAAUAUAGCAGGUUAUUUCAGGAAACACAUCUACAGGGAGAAAUAUAGCAGGUUAUUUCAGGUUAAGACAUCUACAGGGAGAAAGAGACCAGGUUUUUUUCAGAAAAGACAUCUACAGGGAGAAAGAUAGCAGGUUAUUUCAGGAAAGACAUCUACAGGGAGAAAUAUAGCAGGUUAUUUCAGGAAAGACAUCGACAGGGAGAAAGAGACCAGGUUAUUUCAGGAAAGACAUCUACAGGGAGAAAGAUAGCAGGUUAUUUCAGGAAAGACAUCUACAGGGAGAAAGAUAGCAGGUUAUUUCAGGAAAGACAUCGACAGGGAGAAAGAGACCAGGUUAUUUCAGGAAAGACAUCUACAGGGAGAAAGAUACCAGGUUAUUUCAGGAAAGACAUCGACAGGGAGAAAGAGACCAGGUUAUUUCAGGAAAGACAUCUACAGGGAGAAAGAUAGCAAGUUAUUUCAGGAAAGACAUCUACAGGGAGAAAGAUAGCAGGUUAUUUCAGGAAAGGCAUCGACAGGGAGAAAGAUACCAGGUUAUUUCAGGAAAGACAUCUACAGGGAGAAAGAUAGCAGGUUAUUUCAGGAAAGACAUCUACAGGGAGAAAGAUACCAGGUUAUUUCAGGAAAGACAUCUACAGGGAGAAAGAUAGCAGGUUAUUUCAGGAAAGGCAUCGACAAGGAGUGUACGUUUCUGUAUUUGUUUUCUUAGUCAACAUUGUGUUCUGUUCUGCUGUGUUCUUGAACCUAGCCCUGUUUCUUUGUGUUCUUGAACGUAGCCCUGUCUUUCAUUUUUGUUCACUGUUUUCACCUGUGUUAUUUACUCACCUGAUCUCAUCAGCUCCUUAUUUAGUUCAGUUCAUUCUGUUUGUGCUUUUGUGAGGUAUUGUUCGUUUUGACUCUACUAUGCCUUUUCCUAGCUCGUUUGUGAGAACCAGUUAUAGCCUUCAGUCCUAGUUUUGAUUCACCUGCCUGUUUGUCUACCUGUGUAUGACCAUUGCCUGCCUGUGACCAUAAUUCCUGCCUUCUGUGAAGGUGAAAUAAACGCCUGCCGUGCUCUGCGUGUGAAUCUACA